rnacentral:rRNA from 1 species
AUGAAGAACACCUGGGACUGGAACCUGGAGGAGGACAUUAAAUGUGUUAUGUGUACGUGCAACUUGUGUGGUUGUUGCACGGGCUCCAACAUGCUCUUUGAGAAAAAAGGUGGCACAGCUUUGGAUAUACGUGACGUGGCGACAUUAUACAGUAGCAUCGUUCGCUAUAGUUGUAGUAUAGGCUACAUGUCUAUCCUUAAUUACAGCAUGCAACGACCUUCAUUUAAUCUACUUAGGCUUCAAUCGAAGAAGGAUUGGUCGGUGCUGCCGGCUGGCGUCAAGUUCGAUCCCACGGAUCAGGAGCUGAUCGAGCACCUUGAGACCAAAGUGAGUGCUAACAGCGCGAGAUCUCACCCUCUCAUCGAUUUGUUCAUACCAACCAUCGACAGCGAGCACGGCAUAUGCUACGCCCAUCCUGAGAAACUUCCAGGUAUCACACUGAGUGGCCUAAGCAAGCAUUUCUUCCAGCGCAAUUCCAGGGCGUUCAAAAGGGGCACGUGGACGCGUCGCAAGAUACAGUCGGAGUGCGGCAUGCACGCGAUGUGGCACAACACCGAAAAUACCUUGCCGGUGAUGGUCAACGGCCGGCAGCCGGGCAGCAAAAAGGUUCUGGUGCUGCACACCAACAAGAACUUCGACCAGCAGAGGACCAACUGGGUGAUGCAUGAGUACCACCUCGGGGACCUGGAGCAAGAGAAGGAGCGGGAGCUGGUCCUCUGCAAGAUUUUCUACCAGACGAACACUAGGGCCAGGAGUAAAAAGAUUAUAAGUUAG